UACGGAGGGUGCGAGCGUUGUCCGGAAUCACUGGGCGUAAAGGGCGCGUAAGCGGCCUGAUAAGUAGGGGGUGAAAUCCUGCGGCUUAACCGCAGGGCUGCCUUCUAAACUGUCGGGCUAGAGCACGGUAGAGGCAGAUGGAAUUCCCGGUGUAGCGGUGGAAUGCGUAGAGAUCGGGAAGAACAUCAGUGGCGAAGGCGGUCUGCUGGGCCGUUGCUGACGCUGAGGCGCGACAGCGUGGGGAGCGAACAGG
rnacentral:rRNA from 1 species